rnacentral:rRNA from 1 species
GACGUAGGGCGCGAGCGUUGUCCGGAUUUAUUGGGCGUAAAGAGCUCGUAGGCGGCUUGUCGCGUCGAAUGUGAAAACCCGAGGCUCAACUUCGGGCUUGCAUUCGAUACGGGCAGGCUCGAGUUCGGUAGGGGAGACUGGAAUUCCUGGUGUAGCGGUGAAAUGCGCAGAUAUCAGGAGGAACACCGGUGGCGAAGGCGGUUCUCUGGGCAUUACCUGACGCUGAGGAGCGAAAGUGUGGGGAGCGAACAGG